rnacentral:rRNA from 1 species
GACGAACGCUGGCGGCGUGCUUAACACAUGCAAGUCGAACGGAAAGGCCCUGCUUUUGUGGGGUGCUCGAGUGGCGAACGGGUGAGUAACACGUGAGUAACCUGCCCUUGACUUUGGGAUAACUUCAGGAAACUGGGGCUAAUACCGGAUAGGAGCUCCUGCUGCAUGGUGGGGGUUGGAAAGUUUCGGCGGUUGGGGAUGGACUCGCGGCUUAUCAGCUUGUUGGUGGGGUAGUGGCUUACCAAGGCUUUGACGGGUAGCCGGCCUGAGAGGGUGACCGGACACAUUGGGACUGAGAUACGGCCCAGACUCCUACGGGAGGCAGCAGUGGGGAAUAUUGCACAAUAGGCGGAAGCCUGAUGCAGCAACGCCGCGUGCGGGAUGACGGCCUUCGGGUUGUAAACCGCUUUCGCCUGUGACGAAGCGUGAGUGACGGUAAUGGGUAAAGAAGCACCGGCUAACUACGUG